ACUGUUGUUGACGCAGUCGCAUUAAAAUUUAUCAAGAACUACGUAGGCUACUUGAUCAGCAUCAUGGGGCUGGAGAGACUGAAUUGACUAUCUGUAUGCUACUUGCUCUAAGGUCAGAGGUCGUGAGCUGAAUUUGAAGUAGAACGCUGAUGAUUUUGCACAACACAAGCUAGGCUCCUCGGUUGCCCUGAAAACGAUUUCCACCACACCGCCCGCUCUUGUAGGUUACACCAGGAGAGCUCCAGGCCAAUGGCGUCCCCUCCUCCAAUGAGCCGACCUGUGGUCCGGUGUCUAACUGAGCCAACGCGGUACCGACAAGAGAAAGCUGGUGCCAACUGGAGCAGAGGUACUGGAGACAGCUGGCAGCCUGUGGGAACCUGACAUGACCUAAUGAGGAACAUAUAUACUGGGCAACCUGAUGAACCCUGGGAGGCUUAAAACCUAUCCUUCCCUCUGUGUUCAGCCACAGAUCAUUGCUCCCAACAGGAAAUGGCUGUGUAUGUUGGGGAAAUAGAUGACACAUUUUUGUGAUCAAGUGAAACUGUCUGCCUUAUCUCAAACGAGCAGUAAAAAUCCAAGAGGCACGCA